rnacentral:piRNA from 1 species
AACUGAAGAACAAGACGGUGAAGCCGAGA